rnacentral:rRNA from 1 species
GCACGCCGGACGACGUCCGCGAGAAGUCCAAUGACCCUUAUCAUUUAGAGGAAGGAGAAGUCGUAACAAGGUUUCCGUAGGUGAACCUGCGGAAGGAUCAUUGUCGAUGCCCCUCCCCCGAACAGAACGACCCGCGGACCGGUCAAAGAGGACACCGCCGCCGCCGAGGCCGCGCGCCCGGACGGACGGCACAACAACAACCCACCCCCGGCGCCAGUCGCGCCAAGGAAACGGACAGAACGCGAGCGCGCCCCCGGGCACCCGACCCACGGGAUCCCGUCCUGGGGGACGCUCGCGCCGGCGUCAUGCGAAGCAUGCGCGGAACAGAACGACUCUCGGCAUCGGAUAUCUCGGCUCUCGCAUCGAUGAAGAACGUAGCGAAAUGCGAUACUUGGUGCGAAUUGCAGAAUCCCGCGAACCAUCGAGUCUUUGAACGCAAGUUGCGCCCGAAGCCAUCCGGCGGAGGGCACGCCUGCCUGGGCGUCACGCAACGUCGCCCCCGCCCCACGGCGGGCGGGGCGGAGGAUGGCCUCCCGCGAGCACGGGUCUCGCGGCCGGCCGAAACACGAGCGCGCGAGGGCAGUCGCCACGAUCCACGGUGGGAGGAGCGGAACUCGCUCGGGACCCGGCCGUGCGCGGGCUGCCGGAGAGCGACGCCACAAGACCCACGCGCCGCGCCACGGGCGCCCCGGACGCGACCCCAGGUCAGGCGGGGACACCCGCUGAGUUUAAGCAUAUCAAUAAGCGGAGGAA